CCUACGGGAGGCAGCAGUGGGGAAUAUUGCGCAAUGGGCGAAAGCCUGACGCAGCGACGCCGCGUGAGGGAUGAAGGUCUUCGGAUCGUAAACCUCUGUCAGCAGGGAAGAACGGUCACUGUGCUAAUCAGCAGUGAAUUGACGGUACCUGCAAAGGAAGCACCGGCUAACUCCGUGCCAGCAGCCGCGGUAAUACGGAGGGUGCGAGCGUUAAUCGGAAUUACUGGGCGUAAAGCGCUCGUAGGCGGUAUGUCAAGUCAAGGGUGAAAUCCCCGCGCUCAACGGGGGAACUGCCUUUGAAACUGGCGAACUGGAGUGGGUGAGAGGAUAGUGGAAUUCCAGGUGUAGGGGUGAAAGCCGUAGAUAUCUGGAGGAACAUCAGUGGCGAAGGCGACUAUCUGGCACAUAACUGACGCUGAGGAGCGAAAGCGUGGGUAGCAAACAGGAUUAGAUACCCGGGUAGUC
rnacentral:rRNA from 1 species